CCCAGGGGCCGAAGGAGAUGAGGCAGAUGCGGCCGGCUCGUAUUUCAAUCACAGCGGCUUGCCUUUUUAGAAAGUAUAUUUUCUUUAAUCCAGUAUAACCCAGAUAUUAUCACUUCAACAGUGCCCUACUUUUCAAUACCGAAAAAAAAGAUCAUUGCCUCUUCGCUCUGCUGUUCUCACCGCAAGUCGGCUCCCACAUGGACACAGAAAUACAGGCAGACACAAGAAGUGUGCUUCUUAAAUAUAUGGUGAAAGCCAAAAUGAAUAAACAGGCAAUUUUUAGUUUUG